GGGCCUGUGGCGCAGCCUGGAUAGCGCGGCAGCCUUCUAAGCUGAAGGUCGUGGGUUCAAAUCCCACCAGGCCCG
rnacentral:tRNA from 1 species